UACGUAGGGGGCAAGCGUUGUCCGGAUUUAUUGGGCGUAAAGAGCGUGUAGGCGGCCAGACAGGUCUGCUGUGAAAACUCGAGGCUCAACCUCGAGACGCCGGUGGAAACCGUCUGGCUAGAGUCCGGAAGAGGAGAGUGGAAUUCCCGGUGUAGCGGUGAAAUGCGUAGAGAUCGGGAGGAACAUCAGUGGCGAAGGCGGCCAUCUGGGACAACACUGACGCUGAGGCACGAAAGCGUGGGGAGCAAACAGG
rnacentral:rRNA from 1 species